rnacentral:rRNA from 1 species
UCCUGGCGGCGGCCUACACAUGCAGUCGAGCGGUAGAGAGUAGCUUGCUACUCUUGAGAGCGGCGGACGGGUGAGUAAUGCCUAGGAAUCUGCCUAGUGGUGGGGGAUAACGUUCGGAAACGGACGCUAAUACCGCAUACGUCCUACGGGAGAAAGCGGGGGACCUUCGGGCCUCGCGCCAUUAGAUGAGCCUAGGUCGGAUUAGCUAGUUGGUGAGGUAAUGGCUCACCAAGGCUACGAUCCGUAACUGGUCUGAGAGGAUGAUCAGUCACACUGGAACUGAGACACGGUCCAGACUCCUACGGGAGGCAGCAGUGGGGAAUAUUGGACAAUGGGCGAAAGCCUGAUCCAGCCAUGCCGCGUGUGUGAAGAAGGUCUUCGGAUUGUAAAGCACUUUAAGUUGGGAGGAAGGGUAGUAACUUAAUACGUUGCUACUUUGACGUUACCGACAGAAUAAGCACCGGCUAACUUCGUGCCAGCAGCCGCGGUAAUACGAAGGGUGCAAGCGUUAAUCGGAAUUACUGGGCGUAAAGCGCGCGUAGGUGGUUCAGUAAGUUGAAUGUGAAAUCCCCGGGCUCAACCUGGGAACUGCAUCCAAAACUGCUGAGCUAGAGUACGGUAGAGGGUAGUGGAAUUUCCUGUGUAGCGGUGAAAUGCGUAGAUAUAGGAAGGAACACCAGUGGCGAAGGCGACUACCUGGGACUGGUACUGACACUGGAGGUGCGAAAGCGUGGGGGAGCAAACAGGAUUAGAUACCCCUG